rnacentral:rRNA from 1 species
UACAGAGGGUGCAAGCGUUAAUCGGAAUUACUGGGCGUAAAGCGUGCGUAGUCGGUUAUCUAAGUCAGGUGUGAAAUCCCUCGGCUUAACCGGGGAACUGCGUCUGAUACUGGAUGGCUUGAGAUUGGGAGAGGGACGCGGAAUUCCAGGUGUAGCGGUGAAAUGCGUAGAUAUCUGGAGGAACACCGGUGGCGAAGGCGGCAUCCUGGACCGGCAUUGACGCUGAGGAGCGAAAGCCAGGGGAGCAAACGGG